rnacentral:rRNA from 1 species
GUGCCAGCCGCUGCGGUAAUACGGAGGGUGCAAGCGUUAAUCGGAAUUACUGGGCGUAAAGCGCACGCAGGCGGUCUGUCAAGUCGGAUGUGAAAUCCCCGGGCUCAACCCGGGAACUGCAUUCGAAACUGUCAGGCUGGAGUCUCGUAGAGGGGGGUAGAAUUCCAGGUGUAGCGGUGAAAUGCGUAGAGAUCUGGAGGAAUACCGGUGGCGAAGGCGGCCCCCUGGACGAAGACUGACGCUCAGGUGCGAAAGCGUGGGGAGCAAACAGGAUUAGAUACCCUGGUAGUCCACGCCGUAAACGAUGUCUAUUUGGAGGUUGUGCCCUUGAGGUGUGGCUUCCGGAGCUAACGCGUUAAAUAGACCGCCUGGGGAGUACGGCCGCAAGGUUAAAACUCAAAUGAAUUGACGGGGCCCGCACAAGCGGUGGAGCAUGUGGUUUAAUUCGAUGCAACGCGAAGAACCUUACCUGGUCUUGACAUCCACAGAACUUGGCAGAGAUGCCUUGGUGCCUUCGGGAACUGUGAGACAGGUGC